CAGUGAAUCAUCGAAUCUUUGAGAGCACCUUGCGCUCCUUGGUAUUCCGAGGAGCAUGCCUGUUUGAGUGUCAGU
rnacentral:rRNA from 1 species